rnacentral:rRNA from 2 species
AAUUUUUAUGGAGAGUUUGAUCCUGGCUCAGGAUGAACGCUGGCGGCGUGCCUAAUACAUG